rnacentral:rRNA from 1 species
UACGUAGGGUGCGAGCGUUAAUCGGAAUUACUGGGCGUAAAGCGUGCGCAGGCGGUUUUGUAAGCCAGAUGUGAAAGCCCCGGGCUUAACCUGGGAAUGGCAUUUGGGACUGCAAGGCUUGAGUUCGGCAGAGGAGACUGGAAUUCCUGGUGUAGCAGUGAAAUGCGUAGAUAUCAGGAGGAAUACCGAUGGCGAAGGCAGGUCUCUGGGCUGACACUGACGCUCAUGCACGAAAGCGUGGGGAGCAAACAGG